rnacentral:misc_RNA from 1 species
AAUUAUACACAUGUUCGAUUAGAAAUUAUAAUCGUUUUGUAAUUAGAAAUCAUCUCGUUUCACGUUCACAUUCCUAUGAAGAAAAGUGCAAGUAGAGACGGAACGUUACUUGUCAGGCGUGACUCGCUUGUACUCCUUCCUUCUUCAGUAUCCUCCCUUCCUCAUCCCGCAGCCUGCCACCACCUUUUCGUCCUCUAUCGCCUUCUCCUCGUCCUUCACCUCCUCUUGAUCCUCUAUCGUCCCUCUCUUGCCUCUCUUGUGGCUCUCCCUCCUUUUGAACCCUUCCUCCAUCCUCCCUGUCCCCACCUCGCUUGCCUGCCGGCUGCACGCUCACAUGCAACGAGCCAGACCGGCCGGCUGGCACUCAGUUGCCUUUAGCGCCGUGCAUCUCCGAGUCAGUCAGUCAGUCAGUCAGUCAUUGAGUCAGUCAGUCGAGCGAUCGAGAGUUGACCGUUUGAACGCGAAACAACCAAAGAGGAGUGCAUUGAACGAAACCAAAUCGAUACCAAAAGAAGAGGGGAAGUUAGCUCGAUUUAGAGAAGGAA